rnacentral:rRNA from 1 species
GCGACGGGUGAGUAACACGUGGGUGAUCUGCCCUGCACUCUGGGAUAAGCCUGGGAAACUGGGUCUAAUACCGGAUAUGACUCCAGCAUGCAUGUGCUGGGGUGGAAAGCUUUUGUGGUGCAGGAUGGGCCCGCGGCCUAUCAGCUUGUUGGUGGGGUAAUGGCCUACCAAGGCGACGACGGGUAGCCGACCUGAGAGGGUGACCGGCCACACUGGGACUGAGACACGGCCCAGACUCCUACGGGAGGCAGCAGUGGGGAAUAUUGCACAAUGGGCGGAAGCCUGAUGCAGCGACGCCGCGUGAGGGAUGAAGGCCUUCGGGUUGUAAACCUCUUUCAGCAGGGACGAAGCGUGAGUGACGGUACCUGCAGAAGAAGCACCGGCUAACUACGUGCCAGCAGCCGCGGUAAUACGUAGGGUGCGAGCGUUGUCCGGAAUUACUGGGCGUAAAGAGUUCGUAGGCGGUUUGUCGCGUCGUUUGUGAAAACCCGGGGCUCAACUUCGGGCUUGCAGGCGAUACGGGCAGACUUGAGUGUUUCAGGGGAGACUGGAAUUCCUGGUGUAGCGGUGAAAUGCGCAGAUAUCAGGAGGAACACCGGUGGCGAAGGCGGGUCUCUGGGAAACAACUGACGCUGAGGAACGAAAGCGUGGGUAGCAAACAGGAUUAGAUACCCUGGUAGUCCACGCCGUAAACGGUGGGCGCUAGGUGUGGGUUCCUUCCACGGGAUCUGUGCCGUAGCUAACGCAUUAAGCGCCCCGCCUGGGGAGUACGGCCGCAAGGCUAAACUCAAGGAAUUGACGG